rnacentral:rRNA from 1 species
AUGGAUUUAAACCCCCAAAUUUUGUGCUGGAACGUGCGGGGCUUAAACAACCCGGCAAAGUGUUCGGCAGUCAGGGAGUUUAUGCAGGCAGCCAAGGUGAAUUUGGUUUGCCUGCAGGAGACGAAGUUGGAGGUUUUGAACCACUUUGAUGUUAUGCAAUGCGUAGGCCCGUCUUUUGACAGUUUUGAUUACUUGCUGGCCUGUGAGACGAGGGGCGGGAUCCUAUUGGCUUGGGACUCCAUGGUUAUGGGCAUUGACAGUUUUGUGCACGACACGAACUGUCUGUCCGGGCUAGUGCAUAACAAAGAUGGGACCAAUUGGUGGAUCACGGUGGAUUACGGCCCGCAAGGAGACGAACGAAAACUUAGUUCUUGGACGAGCUAA